CUCAGUACCCCUAACUCCCAUUAUUAUUAUUAUUAUUAUUAUUAUUAUUAGGGCGGGGAGCCAUCAUUGUUUUAAGUGGCACUGCUUUAAAUGUAUAGUGCAAAUGUCAACCAAGUCAGGCCACUGGCUCAUCUACCUCAGUACCGGCCAUGGUUUUCGAGGGUCUCAUCAUGCAAGGCAGAUGCUAUAGCACUGAGCUACAGCCCUCCCACUUGAGGAGAAAGGGUGCUGCUGGAACUGAAGAUACAAUAUUAAGUUUGUGGGUGACAAGCGUACCAGAGGAGUGAGGACAGCAGAGAGUAAGAAAGAAAUGUAGAAAGAUAUUGCUAGAGGAAAAGAAUUCAAAACUUACAUACCGCCCUUCCUUUAGCAGUUGUAUAAUUAGGUGCC